UGGGCGUUAAGUUGCAGGGUAUAGACCCGAAACCCGGUGAUCUAGCCAUGGGCAGGUUGAAGGUUGGGUAACACUAACUGGAGGACCGAACCGACUAAUGUUGAAAAAUUAGCGGAUGACCUGUGGCUGGGGGUGAAAGGCCAAUCAAACCGGGAGAUAGCUGGUUCUCCCCGAAAGCUAUUUAGGUAGCGCCUCGUGAAUUCAUCUCCGGGGGUAGAGCACUGUUUCGGCUAGGGGGCCAUCCCGGCUUACCAACCCGAUGCAAACUGCGAAUACCGGAGAAUGUUAUCACGGGAGACACACGGCGGGUGCUAACGUCCGUCGUGAAGAGGGAAACAACCCAGACCGCCAGCUAAGGUCCCAAAGUCAUGGUUAAGUGGGAAACGAUGUGGGAAGGCCCAGACAGCCAGGAUGUUGGCUUAGAAGCAGCCAUCAUUUAAAGAAAGCGUAAUAGCUCACUGGUCGAGUCGGCCUGCGCGGAAGAUGUAACGGGGCUAAACCAUGCACCGAAGCUGCGGCAGCGAACGUAUCACCCAAGACAACUUUACGGAGUUGACGAUUGACGGAGCGAAGCGACGUCAAAGCGUUCAUUAAAGUCGAGUUGGCUUAGGGAUACGUUCGUUGGGUAGGGGAGCGUUCUGUAAGCCUGUGAAGGUGUGUCGUGAGGCAUGCUGGAGGUAUCAGAAGUGCGAAUGCUGACAUAAGUAACGAUAAAGCGGGUGAAAAGCCCGCUCGCCGGAAGACCAAGGGUUCCUGUCCAACGUUAAUCGGGGCAGGGUGAGUCGACCCCUAAGGCGAGGCCGAAAGGCGUAGUCGAUGGGAAACGGGUUAAUAUUCCCGUACUUGGUGUUACUGCGAAGGGGGGACGGAGAAGGCUAUGUUGGCCGGGCGACGGUUGUCCCGGUUUAAGCGUGUAGGUGUGUGUUCCAGGUAAAUCCGGUUCACUUUAACACUGAGGCGUGACGACGAGGCACUACGGUGCUGAAGCAACAAAUGCCCUGCUUCCAGGAAAAGCCUCUAAGCAUCAGGUAACAC
rnacentral:rRNA from 2 species